GAGUUUGAUCGUGGCUCAGAUUGAACGCUGGCGGCAGGCCUAACACAUGCAAGUCGGGCGGUAGAGAGAAGCUUGCUUCUCUUGAGAGCGGCGGACGGGUGAGUAAUGCCUAGGAAUUUGCCUGGUAGUGGGGGAUAACGCUCGGAAACGGACGCUAAUACCGCAUACGUCCUACGGGAGAAAGCAGGGGACCUUCGGGCCUUGCGCUAUCAGAUGAGCCUAGGUCGGAUUAGCUAGUUGGUGAGGUAAUGGCUCACCAAGGCGACGAUCCGUAACUGGUCUGAGAGGAUGAUCAGUCACACUGGAACUGAGACACGGUCCAGACUCCUACGGGAGGCAGCAGUGGGGAAUAUUGGACAAUGGGCGAAAGCCUGAUCCAGCCAUGCCGCGUGUGUGAAGAAGGUCUUCGGAUUGUAAAGCACUUUAAGUUGGGAGGAAGGGCAGUAAAUUAAUACUUUGCUGUUUUGACGUUACCGACAGAAUAAGCACCGGCUAACUCUGUGCCAGCAGCCGCCG
rnacentral:rRNA from 1 species